CUCCCCUGAGCCUUGUCUCUCCAACGAAGCCAGCACUGUCCCAGGGACUUGUUUUCAGGCUUUUUAAAAAUGAUUCAUGGCUAAUCGUCCUCAUCGUAACCUUUGUGUGCAUUUUUCAUUACAAAAGUAACCAGUGAAACAGCCCACAGGUCUGGAAAAAUCCACAGCGAACCUGGCCAUCGAGUGGCCUGGGAGAGGGUAGGGUGAGGGUGGGGUAUCCAGGGGGAAUUGGUUCUGUUAAGAAAGACUACUUCCCUUUCCUUCGAGGUUCGGGGGUUAAACUUUUUUUUAGUAAAAAAUAAAGAAACAGCCUGGCCGACAUGGUGAAACCCAUCUCUACUAAAAAUAUAAAAAUUAGCCAGGCUGAGGCAGGAGAAUCACUUCAACUCUGGAGGCGGAGGUUGCAGUGAGCCCAGCUGGAGCCACUGCACUCCAGCCUGGGCAAUGGAGCGAGACACCGUCUCAAAAAAUAUAUAUAUAAAUAAAAAUAAGAAAUUAAGAAUGACUUCCCUAGUGGUCUAGUGGUUAAAAAAAAAAAUAAAAAAGACUACCGUUUUAAACAGAGAGCACAUCCAAGCAUUGUUUGCACCAUCAAAAGUAAAGAAAACACAAAUAAGCCGGGAACAGUGGCUCAUGCCUGUAAUCCCAGCACUUUGGGAGGCUGAGGUGGGAGGAUCGCUUGAGCCCAGGAGUUCUGCAGGAGACUGCAGUGAGCUAUGAUUGCAUCACUGCACUCCAGCCUGCAUACCAGAGUGAGACCCUGUCUCAAACAAACAAACAAAAACAAGAAAGGAAGGAAGGAAGGGGAAGAAAGAAAAAAAGAGAAAGAGAAAGGAAAGAAGGAAGGAAGGAAAGAAAGAAAGAAAGAGAAAGAAGAAAGAGAAAGAAGGGGUGGGAAGGGGAGGGGAGGGAGGGAGGAAGGAAGGACGGAAGAAAGGAAGAAAGCAAGCUAAAGUGAAAAGUAGGCUCCCUCCCUGCGAGCCCAAGCCCCUCACCCCAGCUGGAGAACCCGCUGUGAAUACUUUCUGGUAGAUCCAGCCAGACAUCCUGCCUCACGCCAGGCACAAGUGUGUACAGACGACAGGACACAGCACAUGUGCACACACACACUCCCAGGAAAGAAAGUGGUCCUCGGGGCACAGUGGAGAAGGCAGGCUGGGAUCAGCCUGCACGGGUUCUGGCCCUGGCUCCACCGCGCCAGCUGCGUGACUCUGGACAAA
rnacentral:lncRNA from 10 species